UCAAGUUCCGCUGCUCCUUCGUCAUGAACAAGCAGCGGCCGACGCCACCAAGGACUGCUGCUGCAGGCACCGCCACUCCCAGCAUAUCAUCUCGAAGGCCUCUGUGUCCCCCUCCCAUGUCUUCCAUCUACAUCUCUGUGCCUUCUCCGUUUUUAUUAUCUUGUUUCCUUCGCUGAUGUUCCGCUGCAAGCACGACAAGGCUGGCCUACAUCUUGGAAAAAAACUGCUCUAGGUAAUCAGAUCAUGACGCCCUGCCUCAUACUUCAUCUUAAAUAAUUAAAUUUCUCUGUUUCGUCAUGUUACCAUACCACUGCUGUCAUCAGGUUUUACGACGUACUACUAUGUUAUCUCAUGCACAUUGAUUGGGUCUGAAAGGCAGUUUAGUUAGGCAACACUUGGUAAUCAUGCAAGUAAUUUUCAAUUGUGUUGAUCUGUUUCUCUCUCUCGAAUUGAGGAGCCCAGCUACCAAUUUCAUUUUCAUGGAAAUGAGACUCAUAAUACAGGAUAUCUGUCACAGCUGACCAAUCAAAAAN
rnacentral:lncRNA from 1 species